GUCUCUCUGCGCGCCGAGCCGAGCCGGGACAGAGCCAUGGGGGGAGGGGCCGGACGCCUGGGUUCCCGGGGGGCGUCUCACUCCCGCCUCGCAGCCCCGGCCUGGGCGGCGGUGAUGUGCGGCGCUGGAGCUGAGGACUCUGGGGCAUCUGGCUGGAUUUUUGCCCCAUGUUUAUCUCUGACCUGAGCCCAACAUGGUGAGACCCCCGGGGUCUCUGGACGGAGAGCCAAUGGCCAGAAUAGCGCAGAGGCAGGGCUCUGUGACACUCAGCCUCAGCCCAAGAGCCUCCCAGCUAUCUGGUUUUGAAGGUGUCGGGUGGCUGCCGGCGUUGGUUACGGAGAGGAGAAUACGGGGCCCUGCGCGGUGGGGAACUGAAAUGAGAAGUGGGGGGAGCGCCCAGCCCCCGCCUGCAGCGCUGUUCAGGGUGGACAGGAGCCGGCCCCCCCAGCGUCCCGGGGGCGGGGGGGAGCCUGGGAGCAUCGCACACCGAACUGGGCUGGUGCCUCAAUAAACAGAUGUGCCACAAA